GACAGAGGAUGCAAGCGUUAUCCGGAAUGAUUGGGCGUAAAGCGUCUGUAGGUGGCUUUUUAAGUCCGCCGUCAAAUCCCAGGGCUCAACCCUGGACAGGCGGUGGAAACUACCAAGCUGGAGUACGGUAGGGGCAGAGGGAAUUUCCGGUGGAGCGGUGAAAUGACGUAGAGAUCGGAAGGAACACCGGUGGCGAAAGCGGCGCGCUGGAUCCCUACUGACGCUGAGGCACGAAAGCCAGGGGAGCGAACGGG
rnacentral:rRNA from 1 species